GAUGAACGCUGGCGGCGUGCCUAAUACAUGCAAGUCGAGCGAACGGACGAGAAGCUUGCUUCUCUGAUGUUAGCGGCGGACGGGUGAGUAACACGUGGAUAACCUACCUAUAAGACUGGGAUAACUUCGGGAAACCGGAGCUAAUACCGGAUAAUAUUUUGAACCGCAUGGUUCAAAAGUGAAAGACGGUCUUGCUGUCACUUAUAGAUGGAUCCGCGCUGCAUUAGCUAGUUGGUAAGGUAACGGCUUACCAAGGCAACGAUGCAUAGCCGACCUGAGAGGGUGAUCGGCCACACUGGAACUGAGACACGGUCCAGACUCCUACGGGAGGCAGCAGUAGGGAAUCUUCCGCAAUGGGCGAAAGCCUGACGGAGCAACGCCGCGUGAGUGAUGAAGGUCUUCGGAUCGUAAAACUCUGUUAUUAGGGAAGAACAUAUGUGUAAGUAACUGUGCACAUCUUGACGGUACCUAAUCAGAAAGCCACGGCUAACUACGUGCCAGCAGCCGCGGUAAUACGUAGGUGGCAAGCGUUAUCCGGAAUUAUUGGGCGUAAAGCGCGCGUAGGCGGUUUUUUAAGUCUGAUGUGAAAGCCCACGGCUCAACCGUGGAGGGUCAUUGGAAACUGGAAAACUUGAGUGCAGAAGAGGAAAGUGGAAUUCCAUGUGUAGCGGUGAAAUGCGCAGAGAUAUGGAGGAACACCAGUGGCGAAGGCGACUUUCUGGUCUGUAACUGACGCCGAUGUGCGAAAGCGUGGGGAUCAAACAGGAUUAGAUACCCUGGUAGUCCACGCCGUAAACGAUGAGUGCUAAGUGUUAGGGGGUUUCCGCCCCUUAGUGCUGCAGCUAACGCAUUAAGCACUCCGCCUGGGGAGUACGACCGCAAGGUUGAAACUCAAAGGAAUUGACGGGGACCCGCACAAGCGGUGGAGCAUGUGGUUUAAUUCGAAGCAACGCGAAGAACCUUACCAAAUCUUGACAUCCUUUGACAACUCUAGAGAUAGAGCCUUCCCCUUCGGGGGACAAAGUGACAGGUGGUGCAUGGUUGUCGUCAGCUCGUGUCGUGAGAUGUUGGGUUAAGUCCCGCAACGAGCGCAACCCUUAAGCUUAGUUGCCAUCAUUAAGUUGGGCACUCUAAGUUGACUGCCGGUGACAAACCGGAGGAAGGUGGGGAUGACGUCAAAUCAUCAUGCCCCUUAUGAUUUGGGCUACACACGUGCUACAAUGGACAAUACAAAGGGCAGCGAAACCGCGAGGUCAAGCAAAUCCCAUAAAGUUGUUCUCAGUUCGGAUUGUAGUCUGCAACUCGACUACAUGAAGCUGGAAUCGCUAGUAAUCGUAGAUCAGCAUGCUACGGUGGAUACGUUCCCGGGUCU
rnacentral:rRNA from 1 species